rnacentral:rRNA from 1 species
UGUAGCGAGAUAGAGGUGGGAAUCCUCUAGGCCGAAUAUCCAAGGUUUCCAGGGUUAAGCUGAUCUGCCCUGGGUGAGUCGUACCUAAGGUGAGGGCGGGAGCCGUAGCCGAUGGACAACAGGUUGAUAUUCCUGUACUGCAGUACGACAGAACUGUGGGGACACGUAAGGAGAGCGGGAGCCGGGAAUGGAAAGCCCGGUACAAGCGAGGUACCAGUACGGUAGGAAAAUCCGCCGUGCAAUGGGAAGACGUGAUGUGGAGCGAAAUUUAGUAGCGAAGCCCGUGAGCCAUGCGUCAAGAAGAGCCGCUAUUGUUUAUACUGUACCCGUACCGUAAACCGACACAGGUGGAUGAGGAGAGAAUCCUAAGGCCGGCGGAAGAAGUAUUGCCAAGGAACUCGGCAAAAUGGCCCCGUAACUUAGGGAGAAGGGGUGCCUGCGAGAGCAGGCCGCAGAGAAUAGGCUCAAGCAACUGUUUAGCAAAAACACAGGUCUAUGCGAAACCGAAAGGUGAGGUAUAUGGGCUGACGCCUGCCCGGUGCUGGAAGGUUAAGAGGAGAGGUCAGACGUAAGUCGAAGCUUUGAAUUUAAGCCCCAGUAAACGGCGGCCGUAACUAUAACGGUCCUAAGGUAGCGAAAUUCCUUGUCGGGUAAGUUCCGACCCGCACGAAAGGCGUAAUGAUUUGAGCGCUGUCUCGGCAAUACAUCCGGUGAAAUUGAAGUGCCAGUGAAGAUGCUGACUACCCGCGCCAGGACGGAAAGACCCCAUGGAGCUUUACUCCAGUUUGGCACUGGGGUCCGGUGUUGCAUGUACAGGAUAGGUGGGAGGCUGAGAAACGGUAACGUCAGUUGCCGCGGAGCCGCUGUUGGGAUACCACCCUUGUGAUAUUGGGCUUCUAACCAGCCGCCGUGAUCCGGCGGUGGGACAAUGCCAGGCGGGGAGUUUGACUGGGGCGGUCGCCUCCGAAAGGGUAUCGGAGGCGCCCAAAGGUUCCCUCAGAAUGGACGGAAACCAUUCGAAGAGUGCAAAGGCAGAAGGGAGCUUGACUGCGACACCGACGGGUGGAGCAGGUACGAAAGUAGGGCUUAGUGAUCCGGUGGUAUUAAGUGGGAAUGCCAUCGCUCAACGGAUAAAAGCUACCCUGGGAUAACAGGCUUAUCACUCCCAAGAGUUCACAUCGACGGAGUGGUUUGGCACCUCGAUGUCGGCUCAUCGCAUCCUGGGGCUGUAGUAGGUCCCAAGGGUUGGGCUGUUCGCCCAUUAAAGCGGUACGCGAGCUGGGUUCAGAACGUCGUGAGACAGUUCGGUCCCUAUCCGGCGUGGGCGUAGGAUAUCUGAGAGGAGCUGUCCUUAGUACGAGAGGACCGGGAUGGACGGACCGCUGGUGGACCGGUUGGCUUGCCAAAGCCAUGGCCGGGUAGCCAAGUCCGGAAGGGAUAAACGCUGAAGGCAUCUAAGCGUGAAGCCCCCCUCAAGAUGAGAUAUCCCAUUCUUAUGAAGUAAACCCCCUUGAAGACGACGAGGUAGAUAGGGCAGGGGUGGAAGUGUGGCAACACAUGGAGCUGACUGUUACUAAUCGGGUGAGGGCUUGAUC